CUCUACCCUGUAACUCUUUCUCUCUCUCGCUACUCUCUGUCACACCUUCAUCUCUCUCUUUACUUCACAUUUGCAAUAAAGAGUAAAUCUCAACCCCAAAUCCCUCUUCUUCUUCUUCUUCUUCCCCUUUUUUCUUAAUUUCCAAUGAAUAACCAGAAAACACAGCUUGUUCUCUCGUAGACCUCACUGUCGUUCCCCAUCGUCGACUCACUCUUCUCACCUCGGCCCGACUAACGACACAAGAAACUGAGCCACAACUCAGCUAAAGCCGAUGCCGACGUCGACAGCGGCCAGUACUCUCAAUGCAGACAACGACACAAGAAAUUGAGCCACAAGUCAGCUAAAACUCAGCCAAGACUCUCUGUUCCCGAUCGGUGCCCUCAAAGCAAACAACAAAGCAAGAAACCCAACCACAAGACUGUAAUUCGAUUGUGUUAUGCUGAGCUCUGUUUUUUGUAAAAAUUCUAGGGUUAUUUAAAAAAUUAAUGAUAAAAAGUAGGGUGCAGAAAUCAAACUCACCUCCUUGCUUUGUUGAUGUAGUGGAUUUGUGUAGUGUGAUUUUUUUGUUGGAUUAUGAUCAGAUCAUCCACUUUCACCGGGCAAAGAUUGACAGGAAAUCUCGUUCUUUUUUUGGUGCGAAACUGUAAACAUAGAAAGUAAAAAGUGAAAGUGAAGAAGAAAAAUCUGCAGAGGUGUUAAAUAUAAAACAAAUAUUAUUUUUUUUUUUUUGCAAAAACCCACAAAUGAAACAAAAAUUAUGAAAAUACCAUGGGCACUAUUUUUUCUACAGUACUAUUCCUGCAAUAGUAGCCAAGUUCUCACUUAUUAAGAUUGUUAAAUUUAUAUUGGAUAAACAAGUAAAUUUCAUGAAAUAUCAGAGCUUAUAUAACUCAAGAUACAUUAUAUGUAAAAUAAAGCCCCACCUGUGUAGGCAAAGCCUGUCGUUUAAACCUAACCCUGAAUCGGAAUAGCAGUCUUAAUCCCCGUGAUCCACGAAGACUACAAGAAAUCCAUAAUCUUAAUAGGUCUCCUGAAUCUAAUCUUAAGUUAUAGUGAAAGUGCUUAACAUUCUAUAAUUCACUUAGCCGGAUUUUCAAAAUUUUAUAUAUAAAUAGUUGAAGACUAAAAUUUUAUAUAUCCUUACUCGAUUUUCUUUAAUAAUAGGAUUUAAUGAAACCAAUUAAGUCAUAAAUACUUUAUUGCAUAAUGUAAAUGCAAUUCCAUGUCAUGCUUAGCAUUUAAUAAAUAAUUACUUAAAAUAUGCACAUAAUAAUAAUAUAAUAUUAUUAUGCAAAUCAUUCUUUAAAAUAAUUAAUGGUCUAAUUAAAUAAAUUUGUGCACCCUAUUUAAAUUAAUAAAAAGGCAGCCCUUAUUAAAACAGAAGGUCCAACUUAAAAAAAAAUAUUAAGCCCAAUUUGACUUUAUUAAGGAAAUUCGUAACCCAGAUUAUUAAUAAAAGAACAGCCCAUAAAAUAAUUCAUUUGGUCUCAAUACUUUAAUAAAAUCGGCCCAGUAACUAAGCCCAAGACUAAAAGAACAAACCCAGCCCAAAACCUUAACCUACUCACUUCUCCCUCUUUAUACUCCCCCUUCCUUCUCCAGCUGCGCCCACCUCCCUCUCGCCCAUCCCGUCCCAUUCUCUCUUCAUGCCACAACCCACCGCCGCAGCCUCCCUUCCGACGAAUGCACGGCCGGAAGGCCGCUGCCCUCGUCUCCUUCUCUCUCUCCCAGCCCUCAACACACGACACACUCACACAAACACAAACACAAACACACGCACACACUCCCAGCUCUCCCUCUCGGCUCACACCAGAACACCCCUUUUCUUCUUCUUCCCCUUUUUUCUUAAUUUCCAAUGAAUAACCAGAAAAUAGCUUGUUCUCUCGUAGACCUCACUGUCGUUCCCCAUCGUCGACUAUCAGCAGCUAAGAAAGCCGCUGCUGAUGCCGAUACCGACGCCGGCUAGUACUCUCAACGCUGACAACGACACAAGAAACUGAGCCACAACUUAGCUCAAACUCAGCCAAGACUCGAUGUUCCCGAUCGGCACCCUCAAAGCAAACAACAAAGCAAUAAACCCAUCCCCAAGACUAAUUCGAUUGUGUUAUUCUGAGCUCAGGUUCUUGUAAAAAUUCUAGGGUUAUAAAAAAGAAAAUUAUAAAAGCAGUGCAGAAAUCAAAGCUCAC
rnacentral:lncRNA from 1 species